GCCUGGGUGGCUCAGUCGGUUGAGCGUGGGACUUCAGCUCAGGUCAUGAUCUCACAGCUCGUGGGUUCGAGCCCCGUGUCAGGCU
rnacentral:tRNA from 1 species